rnacentral:rRNA from 1 species
UACGGGGGGGGUAAGCGUUGUUCGGAAUUAUUGGGCGUAAAGAGCUCGUAGGCGGUUUGUCGCGUCUGCUGUGAAAACCUAAGGCUCAACCUUGGGCUUGCAGUGGGUACGGGCAGACUAGAGUGCGGUAGGGGUGACUGGAAUUCCUGGUGUAGCGGUGGAAUGCGCAGAUAUCAGGAGGAACACCGAUGGCGAAGGCAGGUCACUGGGCCGCAACUGACGCUGAGGAGCGAAAGCAUGGGGAGCGAACAGG